CAGUCGCCACGGUAAUACGUAGGUGGCAAGCGUUAUCCGGAAUUAUUGGGCGUAAAGCGCGCGUAGGCGGUUUCUUAAGUCUGAUGUGAAAGCCCACGGCUCAACCGUGGAGGGUCAUUGGAAACUGGGAAACUUGAGUGCAGAAGAGGAAAGUGGAAUUCCAUGUGUAGCGGUGAAAUGCGCAGAGAUAUGGAGGAACACCAGUGGCGAAGGCGACUUUCUGGUCUGUAACUGACGCUGAUGUGCGAAAGCGUGGGGAUCAAACAGGAUUAGAUACCCCUGUAGUCCCUGUCUCUUAUAU
rnacentral:rRNA from 1 species